rnacentral:misc_RNA from 1 species
GAUGAAGAACGUAGCGAAAUGCGAUAAGUAAUGUGAAUUGCAGAAUUCAGUGAAUCAUCGAAUCUUUGAACGCACCUUGCGCCUUUUGGUAUUCCGAAAGGCACACCUGUUUGAGCGUCAUGAAUACCUCAAUCUCCAUCUUUUCUUCGGAUUGAUGGGUGACUUGGAUGUUGAGCCCUGCUGGUAUGCUAUAUCAGCUGGCUUUAAACUUAUUAGCCGGCUCUGUACUGGAUCGGUUUGACUCGACGUGAUAAUAUUAUCGUUGAGGAUGCAUGUCUCAUGCAGCCGGAAAGUAUCAAAGCAGCUUCUAGCUUGCCUUUAGUGCACUUUUACAUUUUAGACCUCAGAUCAGGUGGGACUACCCGCUGAACUUAAGCACAUCAAUAAGCGGAGGA